ACGCGCCUGACGCUGCUCCUGUUGCUAUGGUCACCGCACCUGUACCGCUCGUCGCCAUGCUUGCGCGUUUCGCUGUGGCUGCUUUUGCCACCGCGCCUGUUUUUCCUGUGUCUGCUACGGUUCGGACUGUCGCUCCCCCCGCCGCGCCGCCUCGCCCGCGCUCACCACGCAUGCCGAGUCUGGCGUUCCCGCGAUCGGCACGGAGCUCGCCGCCCCCCCCGGACCUGGGGUUGAGGUCAGCGCAGCCGCUCCCGCUGGCUGCUGGGAUCGAGGCUGGCCCACGCUCCCCGGCCGCCCCGCCCGUCCCGGUCGCUGCCGCGGAUGGCUGAUUCCCGCCUAUCCCCGUGACUGCGCGCACCGAGCCCGCGCUUUUCCCCGCUGUGUCCGCGGUAAUUCCUGCCUUUCCUGUCUCCGCUUCUGCCACCCCUGUCCCCCUCGUCUCCGCAAGAGCUGCUUGUACCGUCCUCCCGCGCUCUGGGGACAAGGAUAGGGUCUACUAGGUAUCUCUGAGGAAAUAAGUGAUUGUGAGGAUCCUGGGAUUUCUGGGGAUUCACUUUGACCUUCUUCAGGCCCUUCAUCUAUAUCUAAAGCGCCUUGCUGAUUGGAAGAUAAAUGUUCCUCCACUGGCUGAUAACCAAGUGGCAAAAAACCUCCCUCCCCCAGCUGAUGGCUAGAGUGGGAUCCUGCCCUAGCUUCAGAGGGACCCAGAAUUGCCCUCCGACAACUGGAUAAACCUGCAUUUCUGUGAGAAAUAACUUCCAGCAGCACCCCUGCCAGAGACAAAAGCUCUAAUGCCUCUUUGUCUCUCUGGGUUGCUAAAUGAUAAAAAGAUCUAUUAAUCUGUUCCCAAAAACUUGGCUCAAAUAAUAAAUUUGUUUCAGCAUUUGGAAACCUAA